GUCAGAGGAGCUGUGGGCUGGAAAAUGGGCGGGAGCCGAGCAGGGGUGUGUUUUCUGCAGCUGCUCUUAAGCACGCCGCUCUCAAGGAUUCUAUUGUGGGUAUCUUACCAUUGUUAGGCAGUUUGAGAUCCUAUGAACUGCUGUUUAUAGUGUUCUCUUCAUUUAUCCUUCAUUUACUGGAAUAUUCAGUCAUAAAAUAACUGGUAAAAAAAUGUAGAGUAGUUGCAUUAUCUGCUGUUUGCCAUUGUGUUAGUAAUAAAGCUCCUGGAACGUUAAUUCAUUCAUGCUUUCUAACUCCCUUCUUUUAUUAACUGCUUAUUCAAGAGAAUGCCUUUGGCUCCGGGGGUCACAUUCAUCAGCUAGUUCUGUUCACCUAUGAAUCUGAACUAAGAGCUGUGGAUGGUGAGGAUAGAAAACUGUAGCGAAGGAUCCAGGUCUCCCACUGCCCAGACAGAUCUACUCACCUGAGAAUCAGAACUAUGAGCCCUGGAUGGUGAAGACAGGGUACGGUUGCCAAGGAUCCAGUAUGUCAGUGUUCAUCAAACCUUAUCUUGAAAAAACCAACCAUCAACAUCAUCAUCGUCAUCAUCAUCUUUGUCGUCAUCAUCAUCAUCACCACCACCUCUUUGUAGUGCCAAGUAGGAGCAAGGAACUGAAGUUGACUUUAUUGUUUUUUAUUUUAAUUUUUACUUUUGUAAAAAUGAUUCAUUUUAUAUAUAGAACUACUCUCUCUCUCUCUACACGUACAUCUGCAUAACUGCAUGCCAGAAGAGGACAUCAGAUCACAUUGUGCGGGGUUAUGAUUCACUAUGUAGUUGCUGGGAAUUGAACUCUGGACUGCUGGAAAAGCAGACAGUACUCUUAACCAGUGACCCAUCUCUCCAGCCCUAACUGCACUUGAAAAGACAUUUCAUAAUCUGAAGUGGAGAGAAAAUCCAAACUAAACUGAUGGUGGUAAAUCCUUUAUCUACUACUCAGAAAAUUCAUGGUGGAGAAAGAUCUUCUGAAUGUAUGCCAUGUAAUGAGUCAUUGUAUAUAUUGUAUAUUAAAGGAUUGCAGUGCUUAACUGCUGAGAAU
ensembl:lncRNA